rnacentral:lncRNA from 1 species
CCAUUUAUCCAAGUUCUCAGAUUCAUAGUGUUAAUUAACGGUAGAUGUGCCUGUUCAUGGUGUGGAUUCUAUUUUUCAAUAACCCAUAGUUUAAAGGAUGUUAUAUUUGAUCAAAUAAAGGAACAAAAAAUGAUUUUUCCUAAAUUGUCUGAUAAUGUAAUUGUGGCUUAUCUCUGGUUCUGAGAAUUUUAUUUCACUGCCCAGAUUGAAGCUAAGAAGCUUGCAUCGAAUCGAAAUUUGUGGCUUGGUCUUUCCUUUUGGUUGAAUUGUUCCUUUUCUGGCUUUUGUUUUCUUCGUCUCAUUUUGUUAAAUAUCCGCGUGUUUCCUCUGCCUGUCUUGCUAUUUUUGAAAGUUGGUCAUUGGUUCGCUUAAAUUUUGAUUUGUAUUAUUUUAGCCUCUCAGUUUAGAGAUCCUACGACUUUCAAUUUAAUUCAUUGAUUAUGUUUCCUUACACAUUGUGUAGGAACUUGGGAUCUUAUUGCUAAAUGAACUUAUUUGAACAUGCCCGGGCCAAGUAUGUAAUAUGGUUGUUCGUUAAAUUUUGUUUUGCCCUCAGUCACCUUAAAUUUUGAUUCUAGUUAUCCCACUUAGCUUUUUGGUUUGACCCACAUACUCAUUGUAUGCACAAGAGCCUAUCCCAUUUGGUAUUAAUGACCCACAUACUCAUUGUAUGCAUAAGAGCCUAUCACAUUUGGUAUUAAUUAUAGGUAAUUACAUACUCCCUUUAAAAUGUCGAUCAUAAUUUAGAUGCAUGAUUCUUCACUAAAAAUAUUGUCUUAGUUGUAGUUUAAAGAUUUUCUUUUUUAAGACUUAGCCUUCAUUUUCUUUGUUGAAUGAAUUAAUGUUUAUUUGUAGAAAGAUAAUUUUUUUUGUAUUAAACUAGUUCUUGAUGCUUUCUUUCACUUUAAAGGAUGUCACGAAUAGGCAUUAAUUCUUUCUUCAUUUUUUUCUUUGCAUGAACUCGCUUGGGAGCCCAAUUGGACUCUUUUUUCCUUGCAUUACACAAUGGGUCAUUGAGGCCCAUCCUUUGGAAGAUUUUGAAAACCGAUUACAUAGCGCAUGCAUAUAAGGAGUCGAAAGAAGAAGAAUGGGUUAAAGUUCCAUCUUUGAAGUGGCAAAGAGACU